ACAAAUUAGAGUGCUUAAAGCAGGCAAGCCCGCCUGAAUAUGUGUGCAUGGAAUAAUGGAAUAGGACCUCGGUUCUAUUUUGUUGGUUUUCGGAACCCGAGGUAAUGAUUAAUAGGGACAGGCGGGGGCAUUCGUAUUGCGACGUUAGAGGUGAAAUUCUUGGAUCGUCGCAAGACGAACAGAAGCGAAAGCAUUUGCCAAGUAUGUUUUCAUUAAUCAAGAACGAAAGUUAGAGGUUCGAAGGCGAUCAGAUACCGCCCUAGUUCUAACCAUAAACGAUGCCAGCCAGCGAUCCGCCGCAGUUCCUCCGAUGACUCGGCGGGCAGCCUCCGGGAAACCAAAGCUUUUGGGUUCCGGGGGAAGUAUGGUUGCAAAGCUGAAACUUAAAGGAAUUGACGGAAGGGCACCACCAGGAGUGGAGCCUGCGGCUUAAUUUGACUCAACACGGGAAACCUCACCAGGCCCGGACACCGGAAGGAUUGACAGAUUGAUAGCUCUUUCUUGAUUCGGUGGGUGGUGGUGCAUGGCCGUUCUUAGUUGGUGGAGCGAU
rnacentral:rRNA from 1 species